rnacentral:sRNA from 1 species
GCUGGGUGUUAUGGUGGGCACCUGUAGUCCCAGCUCGUUGGGAGGCUGAGGCAAGAGGAUCACUUAAGCCCAGGAGUUGGAGGUUGCUGUGAGCUGUGACACCACAGCACUCUAUCCAGGGCUACAGCUUGAGACUCUGUCUCAAAAAAAAAAAGAAAAAGCAAAGGGAUUGGUGAUCUGAUAAUAUAUCUAAACCCCUCAAGCUAUCCCCCUGGGUAGAGUGCCAUGGCAUCACAGCUUACAGCAACCUCCAACUCCUGGGCUCAAGAAAGUCUCCUGCC